rnacentral:sRNA from 1 species
UGUGUAUAUGUAUACAAUGUACUCACACAGGAAGGCAUGUACACCACACACAUGUACAACUCAAGUCAAUGGACUACCAGAUGUAUCCUUUUGUGUCUGGUUCGUUUGCUCAACUCUGUGUCUUGUAAGACUCACCCCCAUCCUGUGAGGGAUGGUUUUCUGUGUGUGCUGCUGUGUCAUACAGAGGAGGGACCUAGUGGCAGUUCUCCAUUGUAUAGUUAAUGGCCUCCUUGGUGCCUUUCCUCACCGUGAUGCCAUGGACAUCCUUACCCUGGUCUCCUGGAAAUAUGAGUAUACCUUUGAAGACAGAAUUGUGAGGUAUACCAGUUGGCUAUAGUUCUGUCAUAAGUGUUUUAAGAGAACUGCUCUGGCUUACUAAGUUGAAUAAUACAGGACUCACAGAAAGCCAGAGACAGAAGCGGAUACAAGGAUGCUGUGGCCCGCACAUAUGGACUCAAAGGAGAGGAAGAAGAAAUCCUGUUGGGAGUUUGCACUGGCUUCUCUCUCCUUCCUGGCCCAGUGUGAUGUAGGCCGUUCUGCUCAGCCAUGCCUUCUCUACGAUGAUGGGCCGAGAUCUGAAAGAAAUCCUUCUUUCCUUCUAAUUGUCAGUUUUGGUGAAUGUGAAGGGAGACGCUGGGACUGCCUAUGACUGCGUAGCAUCCCUGGAUCACCAAUUCUGCUACGCUCUGCCGGAGUCGUCAUAUGAAUUCCCGUUUCCGCUGGCGAUCCUGGCUCUGACUUCACAGUGCAAGUCACUUCAUUGCUUUGCUCGCUAACCAUUCUAACUGGUGCGGGGUGGCAUCUCACCUUGGUCACAGGGGCUAGGCAUACAACCUGACAAUGAUCAAGCCACACGUGACACAAACUACCCUCCAUCUCUGCAUCCAGACUCUCUGCAAGGGCCAGCUUCUACCUCCUAACAGUCAGAGCCAGAAAAAGUUAAACUCACACAACCGAUUGGUACCAUAAAGUGUGCCCUUGCCAACACCCUGCAGUUGGAGCACCCUGAAGCCUCCUUAGAGUUUCUCUGUGAAAUUUUCCACUCCUCAGUCUCUUCUGCAGCCCUGCUGAGCCUGAGGUUGGUGGCAGACAGAAGCCCUUGGUUAUCUGCAUCUGCACAAACAGGCCCUGCUUGCUCUCACUUGAGCACUUACUGUCCUUUUCCAUGGAGUCAUAAUCUCCGAGCUUCACAGCCUCAUGCCUGGAUAGCACCUGGAAUGCUGUGUGCUCUGGCAUGAUAUUUGUUGACUGACUAUAGGAACGCCUGCCCUUGUUUUGCUCUUACCCUCAACUAACUUUUUUGGUUUGGUUUUUGUUUUUCAGUCUCAGGAACUGUCCAGGUGUGGAAGGAAGGCCCGAACCUCUGGGAAACCUCCGAGCUCCCAGUCAAACUACUUCCUUUCCAGUCCAGUCCCAACUACCUCCUGGCUUCCUCACCUGUCUGAGCAGUCCAUGCCUGCUCUGCAUGGAGAGAGGCUUCAAUGUCUUUGGAAUGGCUCAGGGUAUUCUGGGUAAAGUUCUAGUUCUUUCCAAGGGAAAGACAAGAAUGUAGUGUGGAGGAAUGUAGCCCCCAGGUAGAAAGAGUACAGGCAACUGGUCAGCAGCCAGAACCUUUCUUGCAAUUCGCAAGUGCCUUGGGGGAAGAAUGGCUCAGUAAGACCAAAUGUCUCUCUGUCCUCUAUUGCUCUGGUCAGAAAUAUAGUUCAGGUUGUGCCUCUCCUGGGGGAAAGGAUUUUUUGUGAAGGCUUUGUUAGAAGAUGUCCUGCCUGCAUCGUUGCUCAUAGGCUUUCAAAAGACCCUUCCAGAGCCAACGUUCAGAAAGUGAGCCCGGGCAAAAGCUCCUCAGACCUGGGAGGGCUUGGGACUCCAAGACUCCAAACUCUGGAAGAUGGGCUUAGGGGUAUGCAAGAGAAGUGAGCCCGGAUAUGGCCUUUUACCCGAUGAAUCAAAUACUAAGGAGACCAUUGUGAACCAAAGUCUGCGUACCUGCACUUGGGCAUGGGUCUUAUGGGGGUCACUUCCUCACCUGAGGACGUGAGGUUUAUUUUCAGCCAUGUCUGACGGUUGUUCAAUCAGAAGUCACUCAGAACACCUCCUUAAUGUCCUUGAGGAUUUGAAAGUGACACUUUAAGCAGCUCUGACCCUUUGCAAUAUGAUCAAUUUGCCCUGUCCAGUGUAAAAUUGCCCAGUAUUUGGUGCUACUGCUGCCUUCCCAAGUGUUGGAUGAUGCACACUGGGAGACCCUGAUCAGUGGAUCGUGGGCA